UGAAACAGGAUUGAUAAAGAAAAUAUAGUCGAAAGUUUAUUUGGUUUUUAUUGAUUUAUUUUGCUCCCGAGUAUUGUACAUAUGUAUUGAUGUACUCUGAUGCACAUUCCAGAACAGUAGAUGGCGGUAAUGCAUCUUGAACGUUACCUGCCACCCGCCAACAAACAAGAACAAGAAGAAGACACGGAAAUACGUCAGUCCCAUUCUCUUUCUGCAUUGCGCCACAGCGCCAGUACAACAGCGGCCAAUCUGGAACUAACAGACUUUGUAGACGGCAAUUUAAGUGAGAAAUGAAAUUGUUUUUGGACACAUUGUUCACUCCCAGCGCGACUGUCAGUCAGGAAGGGUGUGAGGAUUUGGUAGAGAGUUUAAAAACUAUUUUCCAGUAGAUGGGAGUAUACACUUCAUUUUCCAACAACAAGUAACUUGAAAGAGGAAGAAGAGGCUGAGACAUUGACGGAGGUCAAUAUUUUAAAAAUUGAUCCAUUUUAUCAUCCUUAAACACCUUCAAGAUUGUGUUUUCCAACCUGUAAUCACAGCUUCAGUAAUCGUAUGCAACCGCGUCGGUAUAAGAAUACCAUGAUCUUAUUUUCCAAAGAAAGUAUGCUAUUUGAAGCGUUUGUUUUUAGCAUUAAGGUGGUUUAGCUAGCAAGGGGGGAAGCCACUGCUCUGAGUGGAUACGUGCGCAGAUUUGGUUCGGCAGAAUGGCUUACAGUGGCAGGAAAGAUUCCCCGGAGCUGCCUGACUUCUCUCUGCUCAAGAGACUGGCCAGAGACCAGCUCGUCUAUCUGCUCGAACAGCUUCCAGGAAAGAAAGACCUUUUUAUUGAGGCAGACUUGAUGAGCCCUUUGGAUCGUAUCGCCAACGUUUCCAUUCUGAAGCAACAUGAGGUUGACAAACUAUACAAAGUAGAAUAUAAACCCAUAAGUAGCACAUCAGAUCAGCUCUGUUUUCUGAUACGACCAAGAAUAAAAACAGUGAAGUGGAUAUCUGAUGUGGUAAAUGCAGACAAAGUUGGAGGGAAAUUCAGAAAAUACAAAAUUAUAUUUACCCCUCAGAAGUUUUAUGCAUGUGAGACAGUGCUGGAGGAGCAGGGGGUCUUUGGAAACGUGUCAAUGGAUGAAUGGGGCUUCCAUCUACUGCCUUUGGAUGAUGACAUCAUCAGUCUGGAACUCUCAGAGUUUUUUCGGGACAACUAUCUGGCUGGAGACCUGCGUUGGGUGAGGACAGCUGGCAGCGCUCUACAUCUCCUUCACUCCAUUUACGGACCGUUUUCAAAGGUUUAUGGGAUUGGAAGGUGUUCAAAGAUGGCGUACGAGUCUUGGAAAGAGCAAGCGAAAGAGGAAGAGCAAAAGCCUCGGAACUCUGAAAUAGGAAAUGUUUUCUUAAUUGAUAGGGAUGUGGACUUUGUCACCCCUAUGUGCUCACAAGUGGUUUACGAAGGACUUGUGGAUGAUAUCUUUAGAAUCAAAUGUGGAUGUGUAGAAUUUGGGACUGAUGUUUCCUCCUCAGACAAAAGCAUCAAAGUCAUGCUGAACUCUCAAGAUAAGGUCUUCAAUGAAAUCAGAAAUGAACAUUUCUCCAAUGUCUUUAGCUUUCUCAGUCAGAAAGCCAGGAAUCUUCAGGUCGCAUAUGAUAAGCGUCGAGGAAUGGACAUUAAGCAGAUGAAAACGUUUGUGUCAGAGGAACUUAAAGGGUUGAAACAAGAACAUCGGCUCCUGAGUCUCCACAUCAGCGCAAGUGAAUCAAUCAUGAAGAAGAAAACGAAACAGGAUUUCCAGGAGCUGUUGAAGACAGAGCAUUCUUUACUCGAAGGUUUUGAAAUACGUGAAUGUAUUUCUUUCAUUGAGGAACAUAUCAACAGGCAGGUUUCCAUGACAGAAAGUCUUCGACUGCUUUGUCUUCUGUCUUUAACAGAAAAUGGGCUUCUGCCAAAAGACUACCGAUCUUUAAAAGCACAGUAUUUACAGAGCUAUGGAGUGGAGCACCUGCUCACAUUUGCCAACCUCAAGCAGUCGGGGCUGCUUAUAGAACAACAGCAGGGUGAAACACUGACUGUUAUGGAGAGCAAAGUGGGUAAACUAGUCAACGAUAAGACAGCAGGGAAGCUGACAGAUGCCUUUUCCUCUUUGGCAAGGAAAAACAAUUUCAGGGCCCUUAGCAGAAAGCUCAAUUUGGUGCCAAAGUCAGAUGACGAAUAUGAUCUACGUCUCCCAAGGGACAUGGCUUACGUUUUCAGUGGUGCCUACAUCCCACUGAGCUGCAAAAUCAUUGAGCAGGUGUUAGAGCGAGAUGGUUGGACUGGGCUUGAAGAAGUUACCAAGUUGCUAAAUGGAAAUGAGUUCGCUGUCACGGCCUGUGAGGGACGGAUAUGACAGGACUGGACAGGACAGGAGGGGAAGCAUGUAGGACAGGGGUUGUGGACCUGGCUGUACAACUGAAGUGUGGUUGGAGUGGCUAUGUAAAUUAUAAACAUCUGUAGGACCAGAGUGUAAGUGAGGGGAUACCCAAGAAAUAAGCAUAGUUAUGUUAUUUGUCGCAAUCUUCUUGCUCUCGCUCUCGUACAGUGCGGACGCUUUUUUUCUCGCUCUGAUUGCUUCGCUUUUGUUUAAAUAUUUUCUUGCUGAUAAUCUUGUUUUUCUUUUUAAAACAUUUCAAGUAGCGACUCCUGGAUAUUUUUAAACCUGUGGGACUAUAAUUUUUUUGUAGAUAGUAUUUUGUUACUAUAUUCCAAUAUUUUCUGAUACCCUUUCACCAUUAUGUGAACGUGGCCUGCUAAUUAGCACAAGCCUGCUAUAAGCAACAAGACCAGCAGUCAAGAUGCCUCCCUUUUCCACUGAGGACUAUCACGGACUGCUGUAGAGGAUGUCAAUCCUGGAAACGAAAAUCCACCGUCUUGAACUGUAUGUGGAUGUAAAUGGACAGUCAGGGAAUGAAACCACUCUACCGAUGUCUCAAAAUGGUGAGCAGAAGUGUGCUAACAAACAGCCACUUAUCUCAAAUAAGAGGACGGAUGUGGACUGUGGAAACGGUAAUGGACUAUCCAGCAGUUCUCCCUGGAAUUUACUGGGAGCAAAGCCCAAAGAUAUGGGACAACAUCUAAAAGGGAGGACACAACACUAGCAGAUUACCGAGGAAUCCGGCGAGCCUGCGUUGCGGGCUACUUCAACGCCGAGUGAGCGUCUGUGGACGGUCGCUACAGCGAAGGGCAAGAAAAAAGGGCGUGAGUCAAUGCAAAACAUUGACAUCAGACUUACAAAUAAAUUUGACCCACUUUUACAAGAUCCUGGCCAAUAAUGCUCAUCCCCCACCACCCCUGAAAGGUAUGAAACUAAAUCAUCAUACAAAAAAAAAUGGCACCCAAACAUUAACAGUUGGUGAUGGAGCUGUCAAGGAUGUGAAAUGUUUUUGCAGUGAGAAGAGCACCAAAGUACCGUGUUUUACCAAUGACAUGGUGUCUGAUAUCUCUAAAAAAAAUCCUAGAGAUCACUAAUCAGCACCCAACUGUUAAAUCUGUCAUUAUACACACAGGGGCCCUGGUUAUUCUCAAGCAGCAAUCAGAGGUACUGAAGCAAGAUUUCAUUGAUCUCCUAACAAAAGUGCAAUGUUUGGAUGCUGAGUUUUUAUUAGUGGACCUCUCCUACUUCUUCUAUUUGGAGAUAAACGAUUCUCUAGGCUCAGUCAAUUCAAUAUGUGGCUCAAAAAUGUGUCUAUGGCACUAUCCGUGAGUUUCAUUGACAAUUUCUGCAUUUUUUUGGGAGCGAAGACAUCUUUACAAGGCAGACGGUUUCUGUCUAAAUAGACAGGGGCUUAAGUUAUUGGCUGCCCACAUUUUUUACUGUGUACGUCAUUCAGCGGCCCAAAAAGAAAACACUGGCCUCGGUGAUGCAGUUGUUCCCAAACAAUCGGAGGAACAGGAGGUAAGGCGACAUGAGGCGCAGAUGGAUUCAUCAAGGUCAUCCAAACACUUUGAGGAGCGAAUGACAAAUGAGAUUAGCCAGCACGUUAAAUCUCCCACACCCCUCCCUGCCCCAAUGGCACAAAGCCCAGCGCUAAACUCACUCUCUACUAGCUUAAAUUAUCUGAUCGGUGUAACGGACAGGAUGAAGAUGGUCGUCAAUAUUGGAAUCCAACGCACACCACGCCACGUCUUUCUCCCGUCCCCCCUCGUCUGAAACCACCGUCCACUAAGAUGUGAAGGGCCCCUCCUCCACCCAUGAAGAACCUUAUCUGUGAAUCUGACUGAUAUCUGCGGGGUCUUUUCCAGAAUAAAUCAGACCCCUACGGAGGUCAGGCAUUUUUGAUCCCUGUAAUUACAAGGGACAGAAAGUUGGUCAAAGAAAUCUGGCACAAAAAAAGUAGAACUACAAACUUUGUGAGGAUAAAAUGUGAAUGUAUCAAACCAUUGUCUCUGCGAGACUAGCUCUUUUCAAUAUUAGGUCACUGGGUAAUACAUCAAUGUUGAUUAAUGACAUCAUUACAACCUAUGAUCUGGACUUUUUGUUACGAAAUGAAACGUGGUUAACAGAAAGUAGCUGUAAUAUUAUGAGGCAACACCAUCAAAUUUUAAUUGUAUGAACAAGUGUCAAAGAGGGAAAAAUGGUGGUGGUAUUGAUGUUGUUUUUAAGUCAAUAUUUCAGUGUAAACAAAUUAUACUGGGUGCUUUUACCUCUUUUGAAUAUCUCUGUUUUUUAGUUAAAGGUGACGCAAAGGUUAUUGUUUUAAUAAUUUAUAGGCCUCCAAGCUACAACAGAAAAUUUAUGGAGGACUUCUCAGAAAUGCUGUCAGUUAUUUGUACUAACUACAACUAUUUUGUCAUAACGGGAGACUUUAACAUUCAUGUUGACAAUAACAUGGCAAAAAAAAUCUAAAGAACUCUGUGCUAUACUAGACACAUUUGACUUCUCUCAACAUAUUAAGAGUCCAACCCACACUCAAGGUCACAUCUUAGACCUGGUCAUCUCGAAGGAUGUUGAAAUUCUAUCAAUUGACAUUAAGGAUAUGGCUAUUUCUGACCAUUUUUGUGAUUUCUUUGAAUUACAGAUUCUUCCAAAAGUUCAGACAACCUCUAUGUCUAUUAAGAAAAGGAAAAAACGAAGCCAAUAAUGAGGCACAGCGCAUCGUCGUUGUCAUGUUCCUUGGGGGAUGCACC